ACGAAACUUAAAAAAGCUGAAGACUGGGUUUCUAGACAGUUUCUUAGGGAACAGAGCCUAAACUUCAAAACCCUGGAUUCCUGUGCUCCGAGGUGCGACAUUAGGAAUCCGAGGAGAGACUCAGUGUGACCAUGCCAGAAAUUCAAGUGGAAACAGUGACUUGGAAGCCGGUGCGUUCCCAUUCCUGACAAAAUCACAGGCGCAGACCCUGGUGUCCUCUACAUCUGGCACAAAAUGACACAGGUGUGGGGGCGGGACCGGAAUAUGAAUAAAUAAAGAGCAUCCAUACUUUU